AAUGGAUUUGGCGGCAAGAAAGCUUUCUAGAGGAAUCUGCCCUAUAAACGACAUUCCACGAGACAUCUUACUUUUACUGGUCUUCAGUUUGUAUACCAUUGUUGUUAGCUAGUUUUAUUAGAAAUCUUGCAGGUAUAAUUAUUUAAAGACUUCAAAUAAAGGUGCAGCGGAUGUAAAAGGUUGAGGUGGAUUACAAUUAAAAGAGUAAUUACGAAGGAGGGUAUGUAAAUCCCUAGGAAGGAGGAUUUAGAAGUAAAGAUAAUAUAAUGUUGAUAGUGGCUCUUUUUUGUGUACACACCGCCCGUC
rnacentral:rRNA from 1 species